rnacentral:rRNA from 1 species
CGCGUAGGCGGUCUCUUAAGUCAGGUGUGAAAGCCCGGGGCUCAACCCCGGAAGUGCAUUUGAAACUAAGGGACUUGAGUAUGGGAGAGGGAAGUGGAAUUCCUGGUGUAGCGGUGAAAUGCGUAGAUAUCAGGAGGAACACCGGUGGCGAAGGCGACUUCCUGGACCAAUACUGACGCUGAGGCGCGAAGACGUGGGUAGCAAACA